rnacentral:rRNA from 1 species
GACGAACGCUGGCGGCGUGCUUAACACAUGCAAGUCGAACGGAAAGGCCCUGCUUUUGUGGGGUGCUCGAGUGGCGAACGGGUGAGUAACACGUGAGUAACCUGCCCUUGACUUUGGGAUAACUUCAGGAAACUGGGGCUAAUAACGGAUAGGAGCUCCUGCUGCAUGGUGGGGGUUGGAAAGUUUCGGCGGUUGGGGAUGGACUCGCGGCUUAUCAGCUUGUUGGUGGGGUAGUGGCUUACCAAGGCUUUGACGGGUAGCCGGCAUGAGAGGGUGACCGGCCACAUUGGGACAGAGAUACGGCCCAGACUCCUACGGGAGGCAGCAGUGGGGAAUAUUGCACAAUGGGCGGAAGCCUGAUGCAGCAACGCCGCGUGCGGGAUGACGGCCUUCGGGUUGUAAACCGCUUUCGCCUGUGACGAAGCGUGAGUGACGGUAAUGGGUAAAGAAGCACCGGCUAACUACGUG